UACGGAGGAGGCAAGCGUUAUCCGGAAUUAUUGGGCGUAAAGCGUCCGUAGGUGGUUCACCAAGUCUGCUGUCAAAGGGUGGGGCUUAACCUCAUAAAGGCAGUGGAAACUGGUGAGCUAGAGUGCGGUAGGGGUAAGGGGAAUUCCCAGUGUAGCGGUGAAAUGCGUAGAUAUUGGGAAGAACAUCGGUGGCGAAAGCGCCUUACUGGGCCUGCACUGACACUGAGGGACGAAAGAUAGGGGAGCGAAAGGG
rnacentral:rRNA from 1 species